rnacentral:rRNA from 1 species
UCGAGAAUCUUCCGCAAUGGGCGAAAGCCUGACGGAGCGACGCCGCGUGAACGAUGAAGUACUUAGGUAUGUAAAGUUCUUUUGCCAGGGAGAAAGUUUAUUGAUAGUACUUGGCGAAUAAGAGGUUGCUAAACUCGUGCCAGCAGCAGCGGUAAUACGAGUGCCUCAAGCGUUAUCCGGAAUUAUUGGGCGUAAAGGUUGUGUAGGUGGUCGUAUUAGUCUCUUGUUAAAAUCUCGGGCUUAACCUGAGGCAUGCAAGAGAAACGGUACGACUAGAGGAUGCGAGGGGUCUGUGGAACUCAUAGUGUAGCGGUGAAAUGCGUUGAUAUUAUGGGGAACACCAAAAGCGAAGGCAGCAGACUAGAGCACUCCUGACACUGAAACAAGAAAGCGUGGGUCG